AAGUUAAAGAGCUGCAUUGUUUCAUCAGAUGAAAAUAAAUGCUCAACUGUAAGUUCUCCAGAGGCUCCAGAAGUGUGUUUGCGGAACUGAGAAUGUUCGAGACUAAAGGAAUCUUCGGCUUUUGUGUGGAUGUCAGCUGUGUGCUGCUCGCUGGACUUCCAUUUGCGAUACUGAAUAUUCAGCACAAGCCAUUCAAAAGAGGCUUUUUUUGCAGCGAUGACUCCAUCAGGUACCCCUUUAAAGAAGAUACCAUAUCCUACCAGUUACUGAUGGGAAUAAUGAUUCCAUUCGCACUGUUGAUAAUAAUCUUCGGUGAGUGUUUUCCCAUAUAUCUGCGGUCCAGAGUUUCUUUGAGUUAUGAGUAUAUAGUGUGUGUGUACAAGGCCGUGGGAUCAUUCGUGUUUGGAGCGGCGCUGAGCCAGUCUCUGACCGACAUCGCCAAAUACACCAUCGGCCGACUGCGGCCGCACUUUCUGACGGUGUGUAAACCGCACUGGAGCCUCAUUGACUGUAAAUCCGGUUAUAUUGAGAACUUCACGUGCACAGGAGAUCCGGUCAUCAUCAAUGAAGGCCGGCUUUCCUUUUAUUCUGGCCACUCAUCGUUCUCCAUGUACUGUAUGCUGUUCCUCGCUCUGUAUCUCCAGUCUAGACUGAAGGCAAGUUGGGCUCGACUGCUUCGGCCGACUCUGCAGUUCUCUUUCCUCGCGGCGUCUCUUUACGUGGGUCUGUCGCGCGUCUCUGAUUAUAAACACCACUGGAGUGACGUUCUCACUGGACUCGUACAGGGAGCCGCCGUGGCACUGUUUACUGUGUUCUUCGUAUCAGAUCUGUUCAGCGCCAAACGCACGUCAGAUAAAGAUGAGGAGAUCUCGCACACGAGUCUUCAGGAGACGUCAGAUCCGCCGAAUCACUACGGCAGCACAGAGUGAGACAGAACGCACUGUAUUAUUUGGAAGGAGUCGCAGUGGAUUUUUCCCUUUUGCAGUAACAUGCAAUCCUUCCCACAACUGAUUCUCUUCAUUUUUAUAAUAUUACUUGGAAAAAGGUCAUUUUUCAUAAUGCACAGCAGUAGGGAAGUAUAUAAUGUCAUCACGAUAAAUACAGCGGCAGUGCAACAAUAUUCGCUCUGCAGUGGCUGCAUAUGUAUUAGUUAUUGUACUGAAUGUGGCAGUGUAAAAAUUGGUUUCUCUUUCCUUACAGACCUCAUGGGGUUAAUUAUACAACUAAAGGUUCCUACUCAGAGUUUAUGCAGUGUCAGUGAAUCGUGAAGGGAAUGGUCCCUAAUGGCCCUUUCGACCCCCUCAAAACACUGGCAACCUUUAACUUCCAUGGGACCUUUUCCAUUCUUGUCCACUGCAUUAUAGUAAAAAGAGGUUCUUUAGAUUAUUAAAAUGUUCUUUACAUUAAGAAAAGAUGGUUCACUGACAAAAUAAUGGUUCUUUGCAGUGAAAAACCCUCCUGUAACCUUUAUUUUUAAGAGUGUAUGCAUCCCUAUCCAUCAAACCAUCCAACAUUUCUAUCUGAUAAUUUUAGUGCAAGUGCACACGUCUUAUUUCAGCAAGGUUGUUUUUAAAUGUUAAAUGAAGACUGUUACAACAAAUGGAUUGUACACUUGACUGUUAAACACUUUAUUUCUGUGGUUUACAGUUGCUUGCUUUUGUGUGUGUUGUGUGUGUGUGUGUGUCAAAUUGUCAUAAGAAAAAGGAAAGUAGUUGUGGACCAAAAUAUUCAUUGCAUUGAAUUCAAUUAAUUUUGUGUAU